GACGAACGCUGGCGGCGUGCCUAAUACAUGCAAGUAGAACGCUGAAGGAGGAGCUUGCUUCUCUGGAUGAGUUGCGAACGGGUGAGUAACGCGUAGGUAACCUGCCUGGUAGCGGGGGAUAACUAUUGGAAACGAUAGCUAAUACCGCAUAAUAGUAGAUGUUGCAUGACAUUUGCUUAAAAGGUGCAAUUGCAUCACUACCAGAUGGACCUGCGUUGUAUUAGCUAGUUGGUGAGGUAACGGCUCACCAAGGCGACGAUACAUAGCCGACCUGAGAGGGUGAUCGGCCACACUGGGACUGAGGCACGGCCCAGACUCCUACGGGAGGCAGCAGUAGGGAAUCUUCGGCAAUGGACGGAAGUCUGACCGAGCAACGCCGCGUGAGUGAAGAAGGUUUUCGGAUCGUAAAGCUCUGUUGUAAGAGAAGAACGAGUGUGAGAGUGGAAAGUUCACACUGUGACGGUAUCUUACCAGAAAGGGACGGCUAACUACGUG
rnacentral:rRNA from 1 species